rnacentral:rRNA from 1 species
CAGUAGCCGCGGUAAUACAGAGGGUGCGAGCGUUAAUCGGAUUUACUGGGCGUAAAGCGUGCGUAGGCGGUGAGUUAAGUCUGCUGUGAAAUCCCCGGGCUCAACCUGGGAAUGGCAGUGGAUACUGGCUCGCUAGAGUGUGUCAGAGGAUGGUGGAAUUCCCGGUGUAGCGGUGAAAUGCGUAGAGAUCGGGAGGAACAUCAGUGGCGAAGGCGGCCAUCUGGGACAACACUGACGCUGAGGCACGAAAGCGUGGGGAGCAAACAGGAUUAGAUACCCCCGUAGUCCCUGUCUCUUAUAA